CGUGUAGGCGGGAAUGUAAGUCGGGCGUGAAAUCCCCAGGCUCAACCUGGGAACUGCACUCGAAACUGCGUUUCUUGAGUAUCGGAGAGGAAAGCGGAAUACCUGGUGUAGAGGUGAAAUUCGUAGAUAUCAGGUGGAACACCAGUGGCGAAGGCGGCUUUCUGGACGGUUACUGACGCUGAGACGCGAAAGCGUGGGGAGCAAACA
rnacentral:rRNA from 1 species